rnacentral:rRNA from 1 species
GAUGAACGCUGGCGGCGUGCCUAACACAUGCAAGUCGAGCGGCAGCGAGGGGUGCUUGCACGCUGUCGGCGAGCGGAGGACGGCUGAGUAACGCGAGGGAACGUGCCUCAAAGUGAGGAAUAACUGCCCGAAAGGGUAGCAAAUACCGCAUAUUAUCUUCGGAUCAAAGGGGUUAUCCGCAAUGGUAGCGGCUCGGGUCGGAUUAGGUAGUUGGUGAGGUAAUGGCUCACCAAGGCGACGAACCGGACCUGGGCGGAGAGGAUGCCCCGCCAGACUUGAACUGCGACCCGGUCCAGUCUGCUACGCGGGGCUGCAGUGUGGUAUCCUACACACUGGGCGCAAGCCUGAUGGAGCAACGCCGCGUGCAGGACGAAGGCCUUCGGGUUGUAAACUGCUUUUAUAAGUGAGGAGUAUGACGGUAACUGAUGAAUAAGGACCGGCUAACUACGUG